rnacentral:misc_RNA from 1 species
GAUCGAACUCCACCAGCACCAGGCGUUUCUCGGUCACACCGUGCGCAAUCAGCGCAUCGGUGAUCGCGCCGGUGCCGGGUCCAAGCUCGAUGACGGGGCCGUCGGAAUGCGGAUCGACAUAACGCGNCGUGCGCGCCAACACCUUGCUGGAGGGCAUUACUGCGCCCAUGUGCAGCGGCUUUUCAAUCCAGGAGCGGAGAAAACGGACUUCGUCGUCAAGACGAAGCGGUUUUUUCAACGCAC